CCUUCUGCAGGGCCCACGACCCGCAGUGCGUCACACGGAAUAUUCCCAGAAGCUGAGGCUCUCCUUCCCUGUUUGUAAAGCACGGAUCGCAGGCUAGUGAUUCAAGAUAUAGGAAUGAAAAGCCUUUUUACAGUUGGGCAUUUGGAUAGAACUAUAGAACUUUUUAUCAAAUGUAGAAUUUAUUUAUAAUUUAAUUAAUUUUUCCAUACAGAAUAAUAGAAAAAAAUUGAUCUGAAUCAAUAUCUGUAUGGUUUUUCGGUCUACAGAAAACUUGAAAAAGAGAUAUUAACUUCUACCUGGCAGUAAUCCUGCAAGGGAGAGGUGAUUUCCAAUUCUGUCCAUGAAGGGUGAAGGCAGAGGAAACAGCGGUGAUAAAAAUUAAGCCACGAGCGAAAGUUCAACUAAGUUAUAUUAAACAGCGUUGGUAAAUUUCGUGCCAGCCACAGCCGUCAUACGAUUAACCCAAAUUAAUAAAACAUUUCCUCCAUCGCAUAACUAUUGUCAUGGCAAGAUGUGAACUUGA